UAGUUUGAAUGCUGUAUUGUUUUCCUGUUUCUCUUUAUAGUUUAUUAUUCUGCUUCCAUACGUCUUUUGGCAUUUAACUACUUCCACAAUUCUUCAACUAUUUACACAAUUUUGGUAUCAAAACGGUCAGCUCGUUCAGCUUAUGCCGGCAAUGACUUUUGGUAUUAAAAUAUCUUAUAUUUUUUGAGAUAUUCAGCUUUUUCUGCGAUUUUUGGUCCCAUUGAAACGAAUGGGAUUGCUCAAUUUUCAGCCAAAUCCUAUCACUUUUUUCAACUCCUACUCUUAUAGGUUAACUUUAAGCUAGAGACUUCAUUCAAGUUUCAACAAACUCACAAGACUUUCAGCUAUUACUGGUUAUAAAAUCUUUUGCAUAUCUAUUACAGUUUUUCUAAAAUCACAGGUAGAAGUUGAGGUAUGGCUUGAGAUUUUCAGAAAAAAUCACAACAAUUAUAAUGGGCAGAGAUACGAGCAAUGACCCUCCUUUGCUCCAUUUCUGGCGUUGUCCUGAGAAAACCGUAAGUUCGAUUGAAAUGAGACGCACGCUGGCUUGCAGCUAACGGAUAUACCUUCGCACCUCUCCAACAAAGACGGGAUAAAGGGAGGUCGCAUGUGACGUACAGGGUCGCGCAUUCAGCGUCAGAUAGAAGACACGUCAGACUGAUGGCAUUUCUUUUUCAGGGCCUUUAGCUUUGAUGUGACCUGCUUUUUGUCCCACGUGACGCCCCGCUCAGUCAGUGUUUUCACCACUCUGUUGAACAGCUGGCCAUCUCUCACCGUCCCCGUAAAAAGGCGACUAAUCUGUUGGUCCGCUCGCACGGCCAAAUGCUCCAAGGUCUCCACGUCCGUCUAGCCACUUCCUUCCGGCCGGCACCUGGCGUGCUGUACACAUGACUAACGCGACCACCCUCUUUUGCGGGGGGGCCUCCCACAGUCACUCCAAAGGGAUUAGCGGGGCUGACUCGCAUUUAGCCGUCAGAGGUGAGGGGCUCAUGCAACAAUAUUACUAUCAAGCGAGGCGGAACGAAUGCAGCAAUAUUCGCGCAACGCCAUGCCAGCAUGGUGCGUUUAUAGACAUACCAUUGCGGUAAUAUUACGCCGAUAUGCCGGCAUGGUGUGUCCUAUAAAAGCACCAAUUGAAACCCAUGUUAAAGGAACAGAGAUUUUCUCCUCUGAUCGGCUUCAGACAGCUAAAAUGUUCUCAUCAUAGCUUCUAGACAAUUCAUGGUAGGCACAUAAUAAUUCACACAGACGACCAUCAAAGCCUUCUGCCGCUCACGCUUUUUGAAAAUUUCCAAUAGGUGCAGCAGUUUUUGAAUGGCGAAGAGCAACUGAGCUCUGUUAAAUGAAACUGAGCUCACUUAAAUGAAAUAUCGAAACAAAAAUUUCCACCGACCACAUAUUUUAUAGUACACUAAGGAUAUUCUCAAAUUCGUUAGGUUAUUUUGUCCCCUUCAAAGUGCUGUCUUUGGUUUUGCUGUUGGUAUUACAUUUUUUGUGCUACAAUCCCCAGAAGGAGGACUGUGCCAGCUUUCCUCCAUUUAAACCUCUUUAAAAAAAGGCACCUGUGGCCGACAUACAGCUGAAAUGUUCUCAUAUCUUCUAGAACAUUCGUGGUAGGCACACAAGACUCCACACACAUGACCACCAACGCCUUCUGCCGCUCACUCUUUUUGAAUUUUUCGAAUCGGUGCAGUACUUUUUGAAUGGUGAUGAGAAGUUUGGCAGGUCCAAUUUCACUUCUGAAGGACAGAUUUAAAGAGCAAGUAACGUCUAAAUUAACUUUUUUUUUGCUGAUGAACUGUAUAAAUGAGUGUCUAAUAGUGUUUUAAAUGUGUGUAUUCAUUAUUUUAGCAUUUUGGUGCAUUUUCUUUAAAAAUAAAAAAUUCUGCCUAAAUACCACAGUAUAGCUCCACCUUCAGCUUAAAACAUAGAAUUUGACUCAUUUUGAAUAAAUUUUAGCCAAUGGCUAAAGAGUAAGAUACUACGUAAACCAGUAGAGUACUACGUAGCAGCUCUGUGUCAAAGUUAUAAAAGCAUCGGGAGUCUCGGCCACGCCUUGUGGCGAGUUGGGAGUUGGAUUUACAAGCGAGUGUAGGAGGCUAGCCGUAGUUCAGCAUUAGCAUAUAGCAUUAGCAUAUCCUAGUCUUUAGCAUAGCUUUUAGUGUUAUACAUACUUAUUUAGUGUUAGCUUGGCUGUUGGAUAUUGUAGUUUAGUUACUGUUUGGCUGUUAGUGUAAUUAGGAAAGUAGUUCGGGUUUAGUGUUCCAUAUAGCGUUAGCAUGGUGAGAUGGUGUAGUGUAGUAUGGUUGCGGAGCUCUGUCGGGUUGCACUCCUUUCCGCUGGACUUAGAAAUUAGGCGCCAGUGGUUGCGUGUCUGGAAAAGAUUCAGCUCCCGCCUGGUGCUGUAGUUUGCAACCAGCAUUUUACCCGCGAUUCUGCACGUCUCCGUUCCAAGAGGGAGGCUGUGCCCACUGUGGCUCUUCCGCGAUUUAGAUGCAGCCCACCGACUCUGCUUCCCCACCAUGACGGGCUCCAGUCUGAGGUGAGUAAGCUAAAUAAAAGUUUUAACAUCUUCUAAAGACAAUUCCCUUCCUAAAUGCAAAGUUUGAGAGACGUGGUUCACUCCAGUUAGUUAAUAUCAGUCUACACUGCCUUCGGGCUGAUUUGUCAAGUUCACAAAAUGUGGAACGGGAUGUAAGGUUAGAAUCAGCGGCGAAUCGGAACAUAUCUCGAAGCCCUGGCCGACAAAACGGUCCACAUGACUGUCAAGCUCAGAGAAAAUUCGGGUUGUUUUUGUGUCAGUCGGUAAUUCUGCAACAGUGGCUCUAACUAACGCAGCACUAGUUGACAGACAGCAUUACAGCAUGAAAUCCAGCACAGCGUGACCCGGUUCCGUGAGGAAUUCUGUUCAGGAGGUCGCAUUUCAGGGUCUCCACAUCAUAUGUGACUGACUUUUACGUUAUAAUAACAUCACACACUAGGAAUGUUAUAAAGCGCCUAUAUGGGACAGUUUCUUUUGUAUUUUAUCUGACUUUAUAAACAUCAAUGUGCUUCUAUUUUUUUUUCAGGCUAAAUCUACCCAAGACACUGGCUGUCAGACUGAUUUAGCAAUCUGCAAGAAUGCACUUGUCCAGGCUGACGUGGUGUUACAAAGAGCUCACAGCCUCAGUGUCUUGUGACACAGGGACCAUGACAGAAAUUCAUCUUCCAGAAGGUCCCAGAGCAUCCACACCCCCUGAAAAGACCAAGAUGUGAGGUGUCUGCUGUUGAUUCCAACUUCCACCUCAGUGACAGUGCAAGCUCAGUGAACUGUUCAAGGAGGCUACUGAUUCUGGCCCUGUGACACUUGGUGGUGACGUGUGAGCUGAUUCACCUGGACACUCAGCAAAAUAUGGACUCUACACCAUGAGGCAGGCACACGUUAAUAACUCUAUAAGAGCACAUAAGCCUGGCUGAUCACCUGAUAACUCCUGUCAUCUGGUUGUGACAGCAUGAGGAUGUCCUCACACACCUGUAACCUACCAGCUCAUCUGGCAGAAUAGAGAGAGAAGAGACAACACCACAUCUCCUGUUCCUGGAAAGCCUUCAGCCAUCCUUCGAUGACUGAGAACCUCCAUCAGCUCUGUCUCCGGUCUGCCUACAAUUAUUAUAAUAAAUAUUGUGUUUGACAAGUU